rnacentral:sRNA from 1 species
ACCGGGCACAGUGGCACAUGCCUGUAAUCCCAGCAUCUGGGGAGGUUGAGGCAGGAGGAUUGCAAGUUCAAAUCCAGCCUCAGCAAAAGCUGAGGCAUUAAGCAACCCAGUGAGCCCCUGUCUCUA